rnacentral:sRNA from 1 species
GCGUCUUCUACCCCGCCGGUCGCAUCUCCGAGAGGUAUGACAUCAAAGGCUGCGAGGGCCCCAGCGGAGCUGGUUCCUCCGCCAGAUGGAACUGGAUACCACCUUCCUCCGGGAGCUCAACGUGCUGGAUUACAGCCUCCUGAUGGCCUUCCAAUAUCUCCACGAGGAUGAGAGGGGCCCGGGCAGCAGCCUCAUCUUCCGCACGGCCAGGUCUGUGCAAGGGGCACAGAGCCCGGAAGAGUCGGCAGCCCAAAACCGCCGGCUGCUGCCCGACGCCCCCAACGCCCUACACAUCCUGGACGGGCCCGAGCAGCGCUAUUUCCUGGGCGUCGUGGAUCUCGCCACGGUCUACGGGCUCCGCAAGCGGCUGGAGCACCUGUGGAAGACACUGCGCUACCCGGGCCGGACCUUCUCCACUGUCAGCCCGGCUCGCUACGCCCGUCGCCUCUGCCAGUGGGUGGAGGCGCACACGGAGUGACGGGCGCCCGGCCCCACUCUCCGGUCUGGAUGAUGGGCUCACGCCAGGAACGCCGG